UCUUGGUCAUUUAGAGGAAGUAAAAGUCGUAACAAGGUCUCCGUUGGUGAACCAGCGGAGGGAUCAUUACCGAGUUUACAAACUCCCAAACCCCAAUGUGAACCUUACCUACAUGUUGCUUCGGCGGGAACGCCCCGCGGCCGGCACCCCCGGCCCGGAACCAGGCGCCCGCCGGAGACCCCAAACUCUUUGUUUUAUACAGUGGUAUUCUUCUGAGUUAAUCAUACAAAUGAAUCAAAACUUUCAACAACGGAUCUCUUGGUUCUGGCAUCGAUGAAGAACGCAGCGAAAUGCGAUAAGUAAUGUGAAUUGCAGAAUUCAGUGAAUCAUCGAAUCUUUGAACGCACAUUGCGCCCGCCAGUAUUCUGGCGGGCAUGCCUGUUCGAGCGUCAUUUCAACCCUCAAGCCCCCCGGGGCUUGGUGUUGGGGACCGGCCGACCCUGCCAGCCAGGGCCGGCCGCCCCCGAAAUUCAGUGGCGGCCCCGUCGCGGCGUCUCCUUUGCGUAGUAACACAUUACCACCGCAACCGGAGGCCCGGCCCGGCCACGCCGUAAAACAACCCAAUUCUGAAUGUGACCUCGGAUCAGUAGGAAA
rnacentral:sRNA from 1 species